rnacentral:tRNA from 1 species
GGUUCCAUAGCGUAGAGGUUAGCACAUCUGCUUUACACACAGAAGGUCCUGGGUUUGCACCCCAGUGGAGCCA